UACGAAGGGGGCUAGCGUUGCUCGGAAUCAGUACGUGGGCGUAAAGGGUGCGUAGGCGGGUCUUUAAGUCAAGGGGUGAAAGUCCUAGGACCUCAACCUACCAGAACUGCCUUUGAAUACUGAGGGAUCUUGAAGUUCGGGGAGAGGUGAGUGGAACUGCGAGUGUAGAGGUGAAAUUCGUAGAUAUUCGCAAGAACACCAGUGGCGAAGGCGGCUCACUGGCCCGAUACUGACGCUGAGGCACGAAAGCGUGGGGAAGCAACAGGGAU
rnacentral:rRNA from 1 species